UUCACCUGAAGGGAAGUGUCUACUAUGUCCAUGUAGCCAUGUGGAGGCUCAUGAAAUGCUUUUCUAGUUAGAUAUUUGAAUAAAACUCAGGGGAAACAGUUUGAUAAAAUAAAUAGAACAAUAGCCAUAUAUGGAGCCUGAUAGGCCUGGGUUUAGAUCCCAGCUUUGUUACUCACCAACUCUGAGAUGUCAAGCAAGUCACUUUUAAACUCUUUGGGUUUCAGUUUCUUCAUCUGCAAAAUGGAUACAAUAGCUAUCUUCGAAGGCAAGUGUCAAAAGAGAUGCUGUAAUUUACCUGACACACCUAUUAGGAACUCACCAAAGUGGAAACAUGGAUUCAAUCCAGCGGAAAGAUGGAUGCAAUCAUCUUCCCUUUUCACACUGGGAGUCAGGGAGAACCUGGCUUUCACACUUGUGAAGGAGCUGAAAUGCUGGGGCUGUGUAAAUGCUCCCAGGUGAUAUUCUGAUUUAAAGAAGAAACAAGCU
rnacentral:lncRNA from 1 species